rnacentral:rRNA from 1 species
UAACGCGUAGGUAACCUGCCUGGUAGCGGGGGAUAACUAUUGGAAACGAUAGCUAAUACCGCAUGACAACAGUUAUUGCAUGAUAACUGUUUAAAAAGGGGCAACUGCUCCACUACCAGAUGGACCUGCGUUGUAUUAGCUAGUUGGUGAGGUAACGGCUCACCAAGGCGACGAUACAUAGCCGACCUGAGAGGGUGAUCGGCCACACUGGGACUGAGACACGGCCCAG